rnacentral:rRNA from 1 species
AGGGUAUUGGCCUACCGUGGCUAUGACGGGUAACGGGGAAUUAGGGUUCGAUUCCGGAGAGGGAGCCUGAGAAACGGCUACCACAUCUAAGGAAGGCAGCAGGCGCGCAAAUUACCCAAUCCUAAUACAGGGAGGUAGUGACAAGAAAUAACAAUACAGAGCCUUACGGUUUUGUAAUUGGAAUGAGUUAAGUAUAAACCCCUUAACAAGUAUCAAUUGGAGGGCAAGUCUGGUGCCAGCAGCCGCGGUAAUUCCAGCUCCAAUAGCGUAUAUUAAAGUUGUUGCAGUUAAAAAGCUCGUAGUUAAUUUUCUGUUAAUUUUUAUAUACAAUGYYACGGUAUUUAUAUAAUAUUAACAUAAUUCAUAUUACUUUUUAGUAUAUGAAACUUUACUUUGAGAAAAUUAGAGUGCUUAAAGCAGGCUAUUGCCUUGAAUACUCCAGCAUGGAAUAAUAUUAAGGAUUUUUAUUCUUCUUAUUGGUUCUAGAAUAAAAAUAAUGAUUAAUAGGGACAGUUGGGGGCAUUUGUAUUUAACAG